GGGGAGACGGUGCCGCUGCGACAGGGGAGGACGCGGCUGGAGCUCAAGGAGGCUCCAGCGCGCAGGCGCCGCCGAGCCCUGCCUGGAUGCUCAGUCAAGGCACUAAGGCAAAAAAAAAAUCAGCAAUUUAUAGAAAGAAGAAGCUAUAGUCUGUCGGGAUAUCCAACACCAACAGGUAGGAGGAUAUACUCUCGGUUAAGUUUGGGGGGAGGGGGGCGCACAGUGUUGAUGAAACUGCAGGUUCACCGGCACCGAGCCCUCCCUGAGGUUUUUUGUUUUUUGUUUUUUUGACAAUAAACUGCAUAAUGGAAGUACAUUCAGACAAUGCAUCUUCAGUAGGGCUUAUUGAGAGCUCCAUUUCUGGAAAGCGUUGCAAGACUGAGGAAUAUCAGACUGCGAAUCACCGGGAACAGUUCCCUUGCAGCACAGAAGCAAUCUCUCUCCCCAUCUUCGCAUAUUCUGAUGGCAAAUCAAAUGGAAGAAAAGAGGAAGCAUGACUGCAGAUCGCAUCAAUUCUCUUUGUGGAUUACAUUUUCAGUAAAAUGGAGCUGAGGCGCUGUUUCAGCACAACCCUUCUUUACUGCAGAAAAUCCAGGUUACCAAGGGAACCUUACUGUGUUAUAUGAAGGAGCAUCUGGAAAUCUUUAGCCUUGUGAAACACUAACCUUCUCUGCUAAGCAAUUGUGGCCUGUAGCCAUAUCUUGAGAAGAAAAUCAAGAAGGGGAUCAGCAAUUAUAAGGAUUUGGGCAACAUUCUGCAGUCUUUGCAAUAGUUCACCUAUAAUCCUAUUUUAAAUCUCAGAGUGAUCCUGCUGACUGCCGGCGAAGGUUUGUAAUUAAGAAAGGACUGAACCACUGCCCUAAGUUUCUUUACGUGGUUGAAAACUAGAUAAUGAAAGUAGCAGGUGCUAAGUAUCAGUGCUAAAUGCUGUGUAUAUCACUACUUAUGAAAAAAAAAAUCAAAAAAAAAAACCAAUUAGCAUUGGACAUCUUAAUAAAUUAAGUUGACAUGAGGUAAAUGUGUUGAUAAAAACUAAUUUUAGAAGUUUGAAGACUUUAAAACAUUUCAUACUAUUAUUGUUUUGCAAAGACUAAAAUAUUUGGGGACUUAAAGUACUGUAAUCCACUAAAGACGUGCCAUGAAUUAUUGGAUUAUCACACUUUUAAAAAUUCGCCUUGUAAGUUUUGGGGAGCAUUCCAAAGCAGUAUAUUGGUUCCAAUUAGAGUUUACUCUUUUUUUUUUGUAUUAAUACAUUACUAUUUCUAAAUGCCACUUUCCUUACCUACUAGUGAAAUUGCUAGCAUUGAACUGUACUAUGUGGUUUUGGUUGAUUUGGUAUAAAGUUUUUCCAAUUCAUUUAUAUUUUACAAAUGCUAGAUAUUGGUCUGGGAGGCAACAUUAAUGGUACCAACUGGUCACAACUGAACAGUUUUAAUAAUGCAGAAUAAACACAUGUUGCCUUAAAGGGUUAUCUAGUAUCUUUCAUCUUAUUUAGCAUUGGAGCAAAUAGUCAAGGGAAAUCGAAUUAGUAACUGGUCAUGGUCAUGCAACUGGAAGUGCAUGGACGAUCAUUUAAUACUCUUUUUCCUUUUUCCUCACAUGGUUUGAAAAUUAAGGUGCACAUCACUGGGAUAAUGAGAUUUUCUUCCGAGGUGUGCUACCCAUUCUAGUGUGUUCUAAGAAGCGGGCAGUUGAUGUAUGUUUAUAUUUUGAGUCAGCUGUCAAGGGGAGACCACAGCCUUAGUAUGACAUCCUGCACAAUUUGUGAAGCGUUUAUUCUACUGAAGGCACAGUCUUGUUUCUACUUUCUGCACAUUCAGUGUAUUGGUCGUUUAAAUUAUUUCAGUUUUAACUUGUGAAAGCUUAUAAUAUGAUUUCUGGUAUUUUAGAAAUACAUUAGAGUCUGUGAGUCUCAUUCUUUAAGAUACAGAUGUGUGAAUUUCAAUAUAAAGUUGCAUUUGCCAAAAUUUACCCGUGUAGCCUGUUACUUUCCUUGGGAUAAAUUUUACAUUUUUGGCAAUUAACAAUUUCUUUUGACCUGGGAGGCAAGCACAAACUAGCAAGGCUAGCUUUAUUAUGGUUUUGCUUUUUGAUUUUUGUAGCUAUUAUAUUUUUGAACUGGAAAUGCAUGAGUAAUAGGGAGCAUAAAGCUGAUAAACUGACAAAUAGUAUUAUCUUCAAAAGCAUUAUUUGAUAGUUUAUCGUGAUUACCCUCUAUUUAUUCUUAUAAGGCAGUAAUAUUUAGAAAUAUAUACCUGCUUAGUUGAUUGGUUCAUAAUUUGAAUAUAAAAAUAUCACAUUUUAAUUUGGAUCAUAGGAGAAAUUUUGGGUUCUAAAUAUAUAACAUCUAAGAAGAAUAGCUUACGAUAACAUUAUGACAAAACCAGAAAACUUAUUGUUUUUGUUUUCCAUUGUUUUCAUUUGUUUGUUUUUGUUUUUGUUUUUGCCUUUUGGUACUUGAAAAAUAAGAUUAGGAAUCUAAUGGAAUAUAAUUCUUUAUUGCUACAGUACUUCUGUAAAGAGAAUAUCAAUAUAAAUAUAAAUAAGGAAAAAUAAAUCACUGGAAUGUCUCAAUGAUAUAUGCAACUAUUCAGUUUUGCUCAUAUAAGGACAGCUCAAGCCAUGAUUUAGCAAGCACUGUGUUUGACCUCAUUUUACUUUAUACCAAAGUUGGUCAGAUCUGAGACAAAGUUUAAUGUACAACAGUGAGUUGAAUCUAGCAAUAAAGGCCCCUCAUUGGUACUAAAAUCAUUAUCCAAAAUACAGUAAAGGAAUGUUAUCAAAAGAUAUUCUGAUAACAUUAUGUUUCCAACUCAAAAUAAUUUAUAGUAGAAGCAUAAUUACAAUGAUUGUAUUUAUAGAGAACUUUGCUUACGGGGUCAGAUAUCACCAGCAAUCAGUAAAACAGUCAGCAAUUGUCCUGCAGCCAGAGAUCAGCUUUUAUUACUAUUUGCCUCCAUAACAUAGACAAGAAAACUGAGGCAAAUAUUAAAGGUGGGGGAUUGAAGAGUCAAGAGCAAGAGCCGAGUGAGAUUGCCUGACUCCACCUAGAUAUUUGGAAUAACAGAUUCCAACCCCUUUGGUAAGUGAUCAGUGAAUAGUACAGAACCAUAGUGACUUUCAUUUGAGCCUACUUUUGACUAACUUGGCAUUUCAAGUCAAGGGGCAAGCAGUAGGUGAGAUACAUCCCC
rnacentral:lncRNA from 1 species